rnacentral:lncRNA from 1 species
AUUCAGAGGCUUAGAAGAAGUAUCUCAUUUGAAACUGGAGAAACGGUAUGUUCGUGGGUUGAAGUUGAAAGCGACAUUGAUUGCAUCCAAAUGAUGCAUGGAUCAGACGACAUAGUGUUGACUGUUGUAAUUUCCUAGAUAUUAAUGGUUGUUUGUGUUGUUGUUGUUGUAUUUGUUAUUGUUCUAGUACUUGUUCUUGUUUUAGUACCUGUUUUAGUAAUUGGUGUUGUAAUGUUAGAUGUUUGUGUUUGUUGUUCCAGUGUCAUCUUCUAUUUGGAAUGAAAAGUAAACUUUAUUGAUAAAUAGCAUUGGUA